AUCCAGCUAACGAAACCCAAAUGGGACGAAACGCGUGUCCUGGAU
rnacentral:hammerhead_ribozyme from 1 species